rnacentral:rRNA from 1 species
AUUGAACGCUGGCGGCAUGCUUUACACAUGCAAGUCGAACGGUAACAGGGUGCUUGCACCGCUGACGAGUGGCGAACGGGUGAGUAAUGCGUCGGAACGCACCGAGUAAUGGGGGAUAACGCAGCGAAAGCUGUGCUAAUACCGCAUACGCUCUGAGGAGGAAAGCGGGGGACCUUCGGGCCUCGCGUUAUUCGAGCGGCCGACGUCUGAUUAGCUAGUAGGUGAGGUAAGAGCUCACCUAGGCGACGAUCAGUAGCGGGUCUGAGAGGAUGAUCGCCACACUGGGACUGAGACACGGCCCAGACUCCUACGGGAGGCAGCAGUGGGGAAUUUUGGACAAUGGGCGCAAGCCUGAUCCAGCCAUGCCGCGUGUCUGAAGAAGGCCUUCGGGUUGUAAAGGACUUUUGUCAGGGAGGAAAUCCUUAGCGCUAAUACCGUUGAGGGAUGACAGUACCUGAAGAAUAAGCACCGGCUAACUACGUGCCAGCAGCCGCAGUAA